rnacentral:misc_RNA from 1 species
GAUGAAGAACGUAGCGAAAUGCGAUAAGUAGUGUGAAUUGCAGAAUUCAGUGAAUCAUCGAGUCUUUGAACGCACAUUGCGCCCCCUGGUAUUCCGGGGGGCAUGCCUGUCCGAGCGUCAUUGCUGCCCUCAAGCACGGCUUGUGUGUUGGGCCUCCGUCCUCCUCCCGGGGGACGGGCCCGAAAGGCAGCGGCGGCACCGCGUCCGGUCCUCGAGCGUAUGGGGCUUCGUCACCCGCUCUUGUAGGCCCGGCCGGCGCUUGCCGACACAUCAAUCUUUUUCCAGGUUGACCUCGGAUCAGGUAGGGAUACCCGCUGAACUUAAGCAUAUCAAUAAGCGGAGGA